UACGUAGGGGGCGAGCGUUGUCCGGAUUUAUUGGGCGUAAAGAGCUCGUAGGCGGCUGCGGAAGUCGGAUGUGAAAUACCGGGGCUCAACUCCGGGGCGCCAUUCGAUACUCCGCUGACUCGAGUCCGGUAGGGGAAGGUGGAAUUCCUGGUGUAGCGGUGAAAUGCACAGAUAUCAGGAGGAACACCGGUGGCGAAGGCGGCCUUCUGGGCCGGUACUGACGCUGAGGAGCGAAAGCUAGGGGAGCGAACAGG
rnacentral:rRNA from 1 species